UACGUAGGUGGCAAGCGUUAUCCGGAAUGAUUGGGCGUAAAGCGUCCGCAGGUGGCUGUGUAAGUCUGCUGUCAAAGAGCGAAGCUCAACUUCGUAAAGGCAGUGGAAACUACACGGCUAGAGUGCGUUCGGGGCAGAGGGAAUUCCUGGUGUAGCGGUGAAAUGCGUAGAGAUCAGGAAGAACACCGGUGGCGAAGGCGCUCUGCUAGGCCGCAACUGACACUGAGGGACGAAAGCUAGGGGAGCGAAUGGG
rnacentral:rRNA from 1 species